GUGUCCUGGGGCCCAACUCAAGCCUAAAGGAUGCAGUUUCACCUGCACCCCAUUAGGCGGGAAGAUGGCACAGAAGGCGCAACUUCCUUUCCCGCCUCCUCUGCUCAGCCCUGCGUAGUUUGCAGAGCGGGAGAGUUGCGCAUGCGCCCCUGAGUCUACACGGACUUUUUCUUCAAGACCCGUUUUGCCAGCGCCCUGGGAGCUCUUGGGCGGUUCUCACAGUCUUCAUGCUCCUGUUGGCAGCACAGAAGCUAGCCGAUCACGAGCGUACUCUCCAUCUCCAUCAGCUUGUGAUGCUGGAAGGUGCAAGAUGGGCUUUCCCGGAAUUUCUCAAUAAGGACACCAGGGGACGGGAGGUAGACGCCAUGGCGAUAGUUCUCCAUUUAGACCUGGAGCUGGAGAUGGGGUUUCCAGUGGAUCCGAAGACCCUGGGACUCCCGCAUUCCCUCUGCUUCGUGAG